rnacentral:sRNA from 1 species
GCGAACUGUAUGAGGUGGCCAUGUACCACUUGAAUCAGUGUUCAAGAUAAUGUAUGGGCCGUGAAUGUCAAUUAGAAUAUAAAUCUGUGCCUCGUUCCCAUCAGUGUAUUCAACAAUUUUGCGGAAGAGGAAUGGUCUCCGCCGACGUUUUCUCUGUACAUUGCCCUGGUGUGGCAGUAAUCGUUUUCGGCUCUGAUGUGACAUCCAGACUCCGGCAUUUGCUGUAGAAUCCGGCGAGGAAGUGAGUUCAGCCGGGCCCUGGAGCAGAUUCGGUUGAUUGUCUUCAAGUGUCAGCUGCGGCCAUUCCAUAUUGACUAUCAAGAGAGAACGGAAGAUCAGGAGAAUGCAGGUAUACAGAGAUAUAUGUCCAAACUGAAGGGUAUCCGCGAGAAUGCUCUGCUCUCCUGGAAGCAAAGCGCAUGGUAUUUAUACGGUUUGAGAGGAGCAGAAAAAGAGCAGACGUGUGCUUAAAUGGAGUGCACAAGACGACUGCAAGCCCAAAAGUGUUUCCCCCUCAGGCCUAGGAGCAGAAUAUAACCACCACCAUGUUCCUUGAAACCGAAGUUCCAUCUAUAUCAACUUCUCCCCAUCAGCCGUCUGCCACUAUGUCAAAUUUUUCCCCCGGUAUGAUCCCAGAACACCAUAGACAUGGAAUAAGGAAACUGUGUGUAACAUGAUGGCUAUAUGCGAGUGCAAGAUCAGCCUAGCCGUGAUGGCCUGCUAUGUCACUGCAAUUGGUGAGUCCACGGCGGCUAUAUGGGCACCCAGGCGGCUUCAUUUCUGGAACUUUGGACUUCUGAAUUUCUGAAUUUCUUCACUUCUACAUUUUUGGUCUUUUUACAUACUUAUAUUCUUUACUAGUCACCCCUUUUAGAAGUUGUUCCCUUUUCCUGUCAGCAUAGCAUCUUUCUGCAAUGCUAGAGGUAGCACAAAAAGAGCAGCAUAGCCUAAUUCGGAGACUCGGCUCCCUUUUCUUUUAGUGGUAAAUAGGGGUUAAUGGCAC